GCCUGGCUAGCUCAGUUGGGAGAACAUCAGACUUUUAAUCUGAAGGUCCAGGGUUCAAGUACCUGGUCAGGUG
rnacentral:tRNA from 1 species